GUACCACCUACUGUCGCCGUCCCAAAA
rnacentral:sRNA from 1 species